rnacentral:lncRNA from 1 species
CCAAGAUCACAGGGCCAAGGAAUAUUGGUCGUGAAGUUUUGCCAAUUGUUGUUGCGAUUGAAGCUUCCAAGAUGGAAUCCAUGGACGAGAGCACCAUAGCCCAUCCUGGAAUUUCGAAAUUUGACAUGCCUGCCACCAAGCGUCAAAGGAUCCUCGUGUGAUAAGACGAAUUGAAGAAUCCGUACUACGAAGGAUUGGUGAUAGCUUUUGCGGUUGUG